GUGGGGAAUAUUGGACAAUGGGCGAAAGCCUGAUCCAGCCAUGCCGCGUGAGUGAUGAAGGCCUUAGGGUUGUAAAGCUCUUUUGUCCGGGAAGAUAAUGACUGUACCGGAAGAAUAAGCCCCGGCUAACUUCGUGCCAGCAGCCGCGGUAAUACGAAGGGGGCUAGCGUUGCUCGGAAUCACUGGGCGUAAAGGGCGCGUAGGCGGACUUUUAAGUCGGAGGUGAAAGCCCAGGGCUCAACCCUGGAAUUGCCUUCGAUACUGGGAGUCUUGAGUUCGGAAGAGGUUGGUGGAACUGCGAGUGUAGAGGUGAAAUUCGUAGAUAUUCGCAAGAACACCGGUGGCGAAGGCGGCCAACUGGUCCGAAACUGACGCUGAGGCGCGAAAGCGUGGGGAGCAAACAGGAUUAGAAACCCUUGUAGUCC
rnacentral:rRNA from 1 species